UACCAGCACCCCGAGUGGUCGGGACGAUUAUUGGGCCUAAAGCAUCCGUAGCCGGUCCUACAAGUCUUCGGUUAAAUCCACCUGCUUAACAGAUGGGCUGCGGAAGAUACUAUAGGGCUAGGAGGCGGGAGAGGCAAGCGGUACUCAGUGGGUAGGGGUAAAAUCCUCUGAUCCAUUGAAGACCACCAGUGGCGAAGGCGGCUGCCCAGAAC
rnacentral:rRNA from 1 species